UGAAUUUUUAAAUGGCUGCAAUUUAAUUGUACUAAGGUAGCAUAAUAAUUUGUUUUUUAAUUAAAAACUAGAAUGAAAGAUUAAAUGAAAUAUAAACUGUUUCAAUUAAAUAUAUAUUUAAUUUUUUAUUUAAGUAAAAAAACUUAAAUAAAUUUUAAAGACGACAAGACCCUAUAGAAUUUUAUUUAUUAUAUUUUUUAAAAAUAUAAUAAAUUUUAUUGGGGUAAUAAAAAAAUUUUAAAAAUUUUUUUUUAAAAAAACAUAAUUAAAUGAUUUUUUUAUCUUUUAUAAAAAUUAAAAAAAUUAAUUACCUUAGGGAUAACAGCAUAAUUUUUUUUAAAAGAUCAUAUUAAUAAAAAAGAUUAU
rnacentral:rRNA from 1 species